rnacentral:siRNA from 1 species
UGUAGUAUUUUAGGUUGUC